rnacentral:rRNA from 1 species
UGGAGCUGAAAUCAGUCGAAGAUACCAGCUGGCUGCAACUGUUUAUUAAAAACACAGCACUGUGCAAACACGAAAGUGGACGUAUACGGUGUGACGCCUGCCCGGUGCCGGAAGGUUAAUUGAUGGGGUUAUCCGUAAGGAGAAGCUCUUGAUCGAAGCCCCGGUAAACGGCGGCCGUAACUAUAACGGUCCUAAGGUAGCGAAAUUCCUUGUCGGGUAAGUUCCGACCUGCACGAAUGGCGUAAUGAUGGCCAGGCUGUCUCCACCCGAGACUCAGUGAAAUUGAACUCGCUGUGAAGAUGCAGUGUACCCGCGGCAAGACGGAAAGACCCCGUGAACCUUUACUAUAGCUUGACACUGAACACUGGUCCUUGAUGUGUAGGAUAGGUGGGAGGCUUUGAAGUGUGGACGCCAGUCUGCAUGGAGCCAUCCUUGAAAUACCACCCUUUAAUGGCUGGUGUUCUAACGUGGACCCGUUACCCGGGUUGCGGACAGUGUCUGGUGGGUAGUUUGACUGGGGCGGUCUCCUCCUAAAGAGUAACGGAGGAGCACGAAGGUUAGCUAAUCCUGGUCGGACAUCAGGAGGUUAGUGCAAAGGCAUAAGCUAGCUUGACUGCGAGAGUGACGGCUCGAGCAGGUGCGAAAGCAGGUCUUAGUGAUCCGGUGGUUCUGAAUGGAAGGGCCAUCGCUCAACGGAUAAAAGGUACUCCGGGGAUAACAGGCUGAUACCGCCCAAGAGUUCAUAUCGACGGCGGUGUUUGGCACCUCGAUGUCGGCUCAUCACAUCCUGGGGCUGAAGUAGGUCCCAAGGGUAUGGCUGUUCGCCAUUUAAAGUGGUACGCGAGCUGGGUUUAGAACGUCGUGAGACAGUUCGGUCCCUAUCUGCCGUGGGCGCUGGAGAAUUGAGGGGGGCUGCUCCUAGUACGAGAGGACCGGAGUGGACGCAUCACUGGUGUUCGGGUUGUCAUGCCAAUGGCAUUGCCCGGUAGCUAAAUGCGGAAGAGAUAAGUGCUGAAAGCAUCUAAGCACGAAACUUGCCCCGAGAUGAGUUCUCCCUGAGACUAUAAGUCUCCUGAAGGAACGUUGAAGACGACGACGUUGAUAGGUCGGGUGUGUAAGUGUAGCGAUACAUUGAGCUAACCGAUACUAAUGAACCGUGAGGCUUAACCUU